GCAAAUGGACAUGAUGACAUUUUUUCCCCAUCACAUCGACAAUGAUGAUAAUAUGCUGAUCUUAUAGCCAGUAUAGUCUGAUCCAUUUGC